GAUGAACGCUGGCGGCGUGCCUAAUACAUGCAAGUCGAGCGAACAGACGAGGAGCUUGCUCCUCUGACGUUAGCGGCGGACGGGUGAGUAACACGUGGAUAACCUACCUAUAAGACUGGGAUAACUUCGGGAAACCGGAGCUAAUACCGGAUAACAUGUUGAACCGCAUGGUUUAACAGUGAAAGACGGUCUUGCUGCCACUUAUAGAUGGAUCCGCGCCGCAUUAGCUAGUUGGUAAGGUAACGGCUUACCAAGGCAACGAUGCGUAGCCGACCUGAGAGGGUGAUCGGCCACACUGGAACUGAGACACGGUCCAGACUCCUACGGGAGGCAGCAGUAGGGAAUCUUCCGCAAUGGGCGAAAGCCUGACGGAGCAACGCCGCGUGAGUGAAGAAGGUCUUCGGAUCGUAAAACUCUGUUAUUAGGGAAGAACAAAUGUGUAAGUAACUAUGCACGUCUUGACGGUACCUAAUCAGAAAGCCACGGCUAACUACGUG
rnacentral:rRNA from 1 species